CCUACGGUGGGCUGCAGUGAGGAAUAUUGGUCAAUGGACGGAAGUCUGAACCAGCCAUGCCGCGUGCAGGAAGACGGCUCUAUGAGUUGUAAACUGCUUUUGUACAAGGGUAAACCUGAAUACGUGUAUUCAGCUGAAAGUACUGUACGAAUAAGGAUCGGCUAACUCCGUGCCAGCAGCCGCGGUAAUACGGAGGGUCCAAUCGUUAUCCGGAUUUAUUGGGUUUAAAGGGUGCGUAGGGGGAUUUGUAAGUUAGAGGUGAAAGUGUCGGGGGUAACCUCGGAACUGCCUUUAAUACUGUUGAUCUAGAGAGUAGAUGCGGUAGGCGGAAUGUAUGGUGUAGCGGUGAAAUGCUUAGAGAUCAUACAGAACACCGAUUGCGAAGGCAGCUUACCAAUCUAUAUCUGACGUUGAGGCACGAAAGCGUGGGGAGCAAACAGGAUUAGAUACCCGUGUAGUC
rnacentral:rRNA from 1 species